UACGUAGGCAGCAAGCGUUGUUCGGAGUUACUGGGCGUAAAGGGUGUGUAGGCGGUUGUUUAAGUUUGGUGUGAAAUCUCCCGGCUCAACUGGGAGGGUGCGCCGAAUACUGAAUGACUAGAGUGCGGGAGAGGAAAGUGGAAUUCCUGGUGUAGCGGUGAAAUGCGUAGAUAUCAGGAGGAACACCGGUGGUGUAGACGGUUUUCUGGACCGUAACUGACGCUGAGACACGAAAGCGUGGGUAGCAAACAGG
rnacentral:rRNA from 1 species